rnacentral:rRNA from 1 species
CAGUAGCCACGGUAAUACGUAGGGUGCAAGCGUUAAUCGGAAUUACUGGGCGUAAAGCGUGCGCAGGCGGUUAUAUAAGACAGAUGUGAAAUCCCCGGGCUCAACCUGGGAACUGCAUUUGUGACUGUAUAGCUAGAGUACGGCAGAGGGGGAUGGAAUUCCGCGUGUAGCAGUGAAAUGCGUAGAUAUGCGGAGGAACACCGAUGGCGAAGGCAAUCCCCUGGGCCUGUACUGACGCUCAUGCACGAAAGCGUGGGGAGCAAACAGGAUUAGAUACACCUGUAGUCCCUGUCUCUUAUAC